rnacentral:lncRNA from 1 species
GGUGGCCGCAGAGGAUGAAAAAGCGGCUGGAGUUGAUCAACUCUAGGCUCCAACUUAUUUAAAGUGAAAUUGGUCAUCCUCACCAACUGCCCAUCUUUAAGGAAAUCCAAAACAGAGUACUAAACACCAUGUUGGCCAAAACUGGCAUCCAUCAUUACAGUGACAAUAACUGUAAGGCAUGUAGAAAAUACUACAGAGUUUGUACACUGGCUAUCGUUAACCCAGGUGAUUCUGCUAUCAUUAAACGCAUGCCAGAACAGACUGGCAAAAA